CUGUUGGGUAGGGGAGCGUUGUGUAAGCGGAAGAAGGUUCAUCGAGAGGUGGGCUGGACGUAUCACAAGUGCGAAUGCUGACAUAAGUAACGAUAAAACGGGUGAAAAACCCGUUCGCCGGAAGACCAAGGGUUCCUGUCCAACGUUAAUCGGGGCAGGGUGAGUCGGCUCCUAAGGCGAGGCUGAAAAGCGUAGUCGAUGGGAAACAGGUUAAUAUUCCUGUACUUGGUAAAGCUGCGAUGUGGGGACGGAGUAGGUUAGGUUAUCGCACUGUUGGAUAUGUGCGUUUAAGUUGGUAGGUGGGAAGUUUAGGCAAAUCCGGACUUCCUUAACACAGAGAGAUGAUGACGAGGCUCUACGGAGCUGAAGUAACUGAUACCACACUUCCAGGAAAAGCCACUAAGCGAAAGGCUUUACUAAACCGUACUGAAAACCGACACAGGUGGUCAGGUAGAGAAUACUCAGGCGCUUGAGAGAACUCGGGUGAAGGAACUAGGCAAAAUAGCACCGUAACUUCGGGAGAAGGUGCGCCGGCGUAGAUUGUAAGGGCUAGCCCCUGAAGGUUGAACCGGUCGAAGAUACCAGCUGGCUGCAACUGUUUAUUAAAAACACAGCACUCUGCAAACACGAAAGUGGAGGUAUAGGGUGUGAUGCCUGCCCGGUGCUGGAAGGUUAAUUGAUGGUGUAAUCGCAAGAGAAGCACCUGAUCGAAGCCCCAGUAAACGGCGGCCGUAACUAUAACGGUCCUAAGGUAGCGAAAUUCCUUGUCGGGUAAGUUCCGACCUGCACGAAUGGCAUAAUGAUGGCCAGGCUGUCUCCACCCGAGACUCAGUGAAAUUGAAAUCGCCGUGAAGAUGCGGUGUACCCGCGGCUAGACGGAAAGACCCCGUGAACCUUUACUAUAGCUUGACACUGAACAUUGAAUUUUGAUGUGUAGGAUAGGUGGGAGACUUAGAAGUAGUCACGCCAGUGAUUAUGGAGUCGACCUUGAAAUACCACCCUUUAACGUUUGAUGUUCUAACGAAGAUGACGAAACGUGGUCUCGGACAGUGUCUGGUGGGUAGUUUGACUGGGGCGGUCUCCUCCCAAAGCGUAACGGAGGAGCACGAAGGUUUGCUAAUCACGGUCGGACAUCGUGAGGUUAGUGCAAUGGUAUAAGCAAGCUUAACUGCGAGACAGACAAGUCGAGCAGGUACGAAAGUAGGUCAUAGUGAUCCGGUGGUUCUGAAUGGAAGGGCCAUCGCUCAACGGAUAAAAGGUACUCCGGGGAUAACAGGCUGAUACCGCCCAAGAGUUCAUAUCGACGGCGGUGUUUGGCACCUCGAUGUCGGCUCAUCACAUCCUGGGGCUGAAGUAGGUCCCAAGGGUAUGGCUGUUCGCCAUUUAAAGUGGUACGCGAGCUGGGUUUAGAACGUCGUGAGACAGUUCGGUCCCUAUCUGCCGUGGGCGUAGGAGAAUUGGUUGGGGCUGCUCCUAGUACGAGAGGACCGGAGUGGACGCACCACUGGUGUUCCGGUUGUGUCGCCAGACGCAUUGCCGGGUAGCUAAGUGCGGAAGAGAUAAGUGCUGAAAGCAUCUAAGCACGAAACUUGCCAAGAGAUGAGUUCUCCCAAUCUAAGAGAUAGUAAGGGUUGUUGUAGACUACGACGUAGAUAGGUCUGGUGUGUAAGUGUAGUGAUACAUUGAGCUAACAGAUACUAAUUGCCCGAGAGGCUUAACUAU
rnacentral:rRNA from 1 species